rnacentral:rRNA from 1 species
AUUGAACGCUAGCGGGAUGCCUUACACAUGCAAGUCGAACGGAGUGGGGAACGGGUGAGUGAUGUAUCGGAACGUGCCCAGUAGCGGGGGAUAACUACGCGAAAGCGAAGCUAAUACCGCAUACUUUUGAAGCGGCGGGUAUCGGGGUAGCUAGUUGGUGGGGUAACGGCUCACCAAGGCGACGAUCCCUAGCUGGUUUGAGAGGAAGACCAGCCACACUGGGACUGAGACACGGCCCAGACUCCUACGGGAGGCAGCAGUGGGGAAUUUUGGACAAUGGGGGAAACCCUGAUCCAGCCAUCCCGCGUGUGUGAUGAAGGCCUUCGGGUUGUAAAGCACUUUUGGCAGGAAAGCGGUACCUGCAGAAUAAGCACCGGCUAACUACGUGCCAGCAGCCGCGGUAAUAC